AGGAAGAACAAAUAUUUGGGGGUGCACCUUCCCAGCAGAGUUCAGCUUGCAGCACUGCUGUGAAGCAUCUGAUAGAUAAAAGUGUCUUCUGUGUACUGACAUGUAAAGCAGCACAUCAAACAUCCCACUUUGAAUCAGAAUUCCUACAGAGGUAUCAUUUGAAUUUUACACAGAGAUAUAAUCAAAGUCCACUUUGCUGCUUGGAGGGAAGAGGGGAAAAGAGCAUAGGGACAGAUCUUAUUCCAUCUAUGAAGCAUUUAAGUGGAUUUAAAUGUCUGAAAGUGAUUCUAGUCUACCCUGUUUAAGUUACCAUAAAUCUAUUAAUGCCUGUAACAUAUGAUGGUAUGUUAUCUUACACUUAAGAGUGAGUCACAAAAAAGCAGAGGAGGAGCAAGACUCACCUACCUUCUGUAUUAUCAAGUUUCAAGGAUGCAAGCAUGAUGGAUUGAUAUCACACCUAUGUGUUUAUGUCCAUUUAUGUGCCUAGGGCACGGGGUAGAAUCUUACUCUUACUGUGUUCACUUGAUAAUCUUAUAAAGUACUUAGAUAUGAUGGUGA